rnacentral:snRNA from 1 species
GGACGUGAGGGUGAUCUGACUGUGACAUCUGUCACUCCAUUGAUCGCCAGGGUUGAUUCAGCUGAUCUGGCUGGCUAGGCGGGUGUCUGCUUCCUCCCUUCUGGCGCCACGUGCAUCCCUCCCGAAGCAGUGCGCUAGGUAGAAAAAAGACGAACUUACCCCGAGUAGGUCAAGGGUAUUCAAGAAGCUGGGGUGCCCUGCUAGACCCUCCAAACAAGCUCUCAAGACUGUUAAGAUGACCUCUGAGGGAAACCUAGAUGACAUAAAAAAAAAAAAAGCUUGCCUUU